UAGGGAAUCUUCGGCAAUGGACGAAAGUCUGACCGAGCAACGCUGCGUGAGUGAAGAAGGUUUUCGGAUCGUAAAACUCUGUUGUUAGAGAAGAACAAGGACGUUAGUAACUGAACGUCCCCUGACGGUAUCUAACCAGAAAGCCCCGGCUAACUACGUGCCAGCAGCCGCGGUAAUACGUAGGUGGCUAGCGUUGUCCGGUUUUUUUGGGCGUUAAGCGAGCGCAGGCGGUUUCUUAAGUCUGAUGUGAAAGCCCCCGGCUCAACCGGGGAGGGUCAUUGGAAACUGGGAGACAUGAGUGCAGAAGAGGAGAGUGGAAUUCGAGGUGUAGCGGUGAAAGGCGUAGAUAUAUGGAGGAACACCAGUGGCGAAGGCGGCUCUGUGGUCUGUAACUGACGCUGAGGCUCGAAAGCGUGGGGAGCAAACAGG
rnacentral:rRNA from 1 species